UAGAAUGUAGUAUAGUGGAAGUAUAGGGAGUUUUGAUCUCUCUGGCAUAGGUUCAAUUCCUAUUUUUUUAA
rnacentral:tRNA from 1 species